CUUGAACUUUUCAUUCUUCUGCCUCGGUAUCCUUUGUAGCUGAGUUUAGUGUGCAAUAUCACCCCUGGCUUUUAAACUACUGAAGUUUUUCUUGAUAUUUUUUUCAAAUCGUGAGGAGUUGGUUCCAGACCUGGGAUUUAAAUAAGUAUUUUAGUUCUUACAGAUGCUAAACUUCCAACUUAAUCUCAUUUCUGGAUGGAGCUCCGUAAACAAAAAGGAGAAAAAAAAAAUGUUCCUGUGGCCAAAAUUUUGAAAACUUCUACUUCAGAGCUACCUUAUACUGUAUGUAUUAGUCUGCUUUCCUGUCACUGGGAUAAAGUACCUGACACCAACAAUUUCAAGAGGGAGAUGUUUAUUUUGACUCAGUUUCCAUGGAUGCAGUUCAUGUCUGGUUGGUUCUGAGGCAACAAUGCCAUGGCGGAAGAGCAUGGCAGAGGAAAGCUCUUUACCGAACGGAAGCCAGGAAACAAGGAGAAGGGAAGAGCAAAGGGUAAGCAUACAUCCUUCCAAGUUCAAUGAAAAUAUCAGAUGUCAUAUUUUCUAUGAAAAACUUCAAUUCCAGCCAAUGACACAAUUUAUAUUCAAAUAAAAUAUUAUGAGUAUCACAAAGAAUUAGAGAAUAUAAGCACCUAGGAGGAGGCUCCCUGGUUGCCAUUCCACCACUCCCAGGGCAGAGGAGGUGAGCUGCACUGGUGCCAGCAGCAUCCCCACCACCACUGGUGGAAAUGAGAAGACAUGUAAACAAGCCUCAAAAACAGAUUUCCAGAUCACCUAAAGCAACCUCAAAGGGAAACAAGAUGUAACAAUCUGAUAUUCAACCAUCUGGACUCCCUGAGCUGGCAACAAAGAAGGAUCUGGAAAGAAUGAAAUCAGAAAGAAUUUCUCACAUAACAGCAGAGAUUGUGCCCAUAGUGCAAGAAAUGAUCAAUAAAUCUGAGAGGACACAGAUAAAAAAAAUAGAGGAUCUGAGGAACAUGAUGGAAUCCCAACAGAGGAAAAAGAAGGAAUCCAUAAAGCAGAUACAAACAGACUUCCAGGAGAUUAAAAACUCCACUGAAAGUCUACACAGCAGAAUGAACCAAUGUGAGGACAGAAUUUCAGAUACAGAAGAUAAGAUUGCAAUUAGUGACCAGGAAAAGUAAAAUGGCUUUAAAAUUGUAAGGGACCAUGAGAAAUCAAUCUAGCAGCUGUUAGAUGAUGCAAAGAAGAAUAACAUAAGACUGAUUGGAGUCAAUGAAGAAAGAGGAGAGAGUACAGAUGACAUAAAAAAUCUGUUCACAGAAGUGAUGGCAGAAAACUUCCAAGCAGGGGAAAAGCCCCUGACAUACAGAUAAGUAAAGUAUAUAGGACUCCAACUAGCCUUGAUCAAAAAAUGUCUACACAGCUGGGGAUUUAGCUCAGUGGUUUUGCC
rnacentral:lncRNA from 1 species